CAGCCGCCACGGUAAUACGUAGGGUGCGAGCGUUAAUCGGAAUUACUGGGCGUAAAGCGUGCGCAGGCGGUUGUGUAAGACAGGUGUGAAAUCCCCGGGCUUAACCUGGGAACUGCGCUUGUGACUGCACAGCUAGAGUAUGGCAGAGGGGGGUGGAAUUCCACGUGUAGCAGUGAAAUGCGUAGAUAUGUGGAGGAAUACCGAUGGCGAAGGCAGCCCCCUGGGCCAAUACUGACGCUCAUGCACGAAAGCGUGGGGAGCAAAUGGGAUUAGAUACCCCCGUAGUCCCUGUCUCUUAUAC
rnacentral:rRNA from 1 species